rnacentral:lncRNA from 1 species
AAGAAUUUCACUUAUAUUUUGUUGCUUUGCAUUCGAUGAUGAAGAAACUGCGGAGCUCUUUAUAUAUAUUCAAGUACUUCAGUAUUUGGCCUGGAGAAGACAUUCAUGAGAUAUAACAUUAAUUAGUAAUGAAGCUAUUUUCAAAGUGUCAAUCCUUAUAUCAUCCAUUUGGAAAAUGUACAAUAUACAGCACAUGGCAUAGAAAAUUGAUAGAAUGAGAUGUGCCAAAUGAUUUAUAUUAGAACCAAAGUAACAAAAAUAUUCCUAAAAAAGAAGUGAAAAAAAAUACAUAAAAUUCAGCAAGAAAAUCAAAAUUAAAACAGUAAAAGAAAAUGCUGUAACAGUUCAAUAUACCUUUUAUCAUUUUUUCAAAAAAAAAAAAAAAACAGUACAACAACUCUAUGCAGACAAAGCCUUGGUAAACCUCAAAGUCAGCCACCCCAUCUGAUAGCUUAGAGUACUUACCCGUUUACCACAGAAAGAGCCAAACACUCGAUUCCCCAGAAAAACCUUAUACACAGUCGUCAUAACUCAUAACAACAGCUCUUCAUAUGAUCAUCUAAACCUGUUUUCAGACACCCAACUCCAACAUGCAAACUGGGUUCCCAAGUUGGUAAUAACUUACAAGACAAAAACACAUAAAUAUUUGACCAAAGUUUCAGAAAAAAAGACCAAAGAACAAAAGACUUACAAAGUAGGUGAGUGUCAGCAGUGGAAAGCAUAAGCCAUUAUUUUCAUUUUUACUUUGCUUUCUUUCUUAGCAUCCAAACAAGAGACUGUAGCGCAGCUGUGCUACAAACAA